GAAAAAGUUGAAACUGACUUCUUCUUUUAUGAAAUACCAAAAAUCUUAUCUAAAGUGUAUUCUUUGAUUUCUUCAAGGACCAAUUGUUACCAAUGGCAACUCCGCUAUUACUAUGGCUCCAAGCAUUUCUCUUGAUUAUUUUAUUAUUGCCUUGUGCGGCAACCCUUCAUAAGAAAUCAAAUGCUGGAACCACUAAAUAUGAAGAUCGAGAAGUUGUGGCAAACCAUGGCGUCGUUGCUGCUGAUGAUGGUAGAUGUUCAGUAAUUGGGAUGAAUGUUCUUCGUGAAGGAGGCCAUGCUGUUGAUGCAGCAGUAGCUACUGCUCUUUGCUUAGGAGUUGUGAGCCCUGCAUCUAGUGGAAUCGGCGGAGGAGCCUUUAUGCUCAUCAGACUUGCCAAUGGAACAGCACAAGCCUUUGACAUGAGAGAAACUGCACCUAUGCAAGCUUCCCAGGAUAUGUAUGCUGGUAAUGCUACUAAAAAAGAUUCGGGUGCCCUCUCCAUAGCUGUUCCUGGAGAACUUGCAGGACUUCACGAAGCCUGGAAACAACAUGGAAGGCUUACUUGGGAAAGGCUUGUAAGGCCAGCUGAGAAGCUUGCUCGCAGUGGGUUCAGGAUUUCGCCAUACCUCUACAGCCAGAUGGUUAGAUCAGAAUCAGGGAUUUUAGUCGAUAAGGGGCUUCGUGACAUAUUUACAUCAAAUGGUAAACUCUUGCAGCCUAAUGAUAUCUGUUACAACAAGAAACUAGCAGAGGCACUCAGGAUAAUUGCAAUAAAUGGAGCGGAGGCCUUCUAUAAUGGGUCAGUAGGAUCUAAUUUGGUACGAGAUAUUCAAGAGGCUGGAGGCAUAAUAACAAGAGAGGAUUUGCAGAUGUAUCAGGUUAAAAUUAGAAAGCCAAUCUCUGCCAACAUUCUCGGUCUUAAAAUAAUUGGAAUGCCUCCCCCUUCUUCUGGUGCUGCUUCAAUGACGCUUAUUUUAAACAUACUUGCUGAAUUCGGAGUUCCAGAAGGCAUUUCUGGCCCCCUAGGGAUCCAUCGUCAAAUCGAAGCAUUAAAGCACGCAUUUGCUGUGAGAAUGAAUCUGGGUGAUCCCGAUUUUGUUAAUAUUACUGAAGUACUAUCCGACAUGCUUUCUCCUGGCUUUGCCCAUCAGCUGAAGAAAACCAUAUACGACAACAUGACCUUUGAUCCUGGUUAUUAUGGUGGAAGGUGGAACCAGAUUAAUGAUCAUGGCACAAGUCAUGUAUCCAUUGUUGAUAAUGAGCGAAAUGUUGUUUCUAUGACCAGUACUGUGAACUCAUACUUUGGUGCACAAAUAUUGUCCCCAAGUACAGGGAUAGUCUUGAACAAUGAAAUGGAUGAUUUCUCCAUGCCUAUUAAUGAAACUGCAAAUGGUACACCUCCAGCACCUGCCAAUUUUAUUAGCCCUGGAAAGCGGCCGCUUUCAUCCAUGACGCCUACAGUUGUGUUGAAGGAUGAGCAACUGAAAGCUGUGGUAGGUGCCAGUGGGGGAGGCAUGAUUAUUGCUGGAACUACAGAGGUGUUUCUAAAUCAUUUUGCCAGGAGAAUGGAUCCACUUUCUUCUGUUCUGGCUCCAAGGAUCUAUCAUCAGCUGAUACCCAACAUUGUACAAUAUGAGAAUUGGACAACAGUGUAUAAUGACCACUUCGAAAUUCCUGCUGAUACAAGGGCAUUCCUUCAAAAGAGGGGACAUGUCCUUGAAAGCCGAGCUGGUGGGACCAUUUGCCAAUUCAUUGUGCAAGACUUCGAGGCUUUUAGAGGAAAUAAAUCUAUUGGAAAACUUGUGGGAAUUAGUGAUCCAAGAAAAGGAGGACACCCUGCUGGUUUUUGAAACUUCAUUAAAAUUGUAUAGCUUGUACAUUGUGCUUUUUGACUUGAGAGAGUGGUACUGUUAAGUGUUUUUUUCCAGACCAACAUGUUACAUUUGAAGUCCAAAACCACCAAAAUUGGAACACAGAACUUGGGAAAAUAUAGCAGCAGAGAACCACUCUAAUACAACAUGUUUCAUUUCUGCUUCCAGCUCAACAAGAUUUAUUCUAUAACUGCCAGCUUUUCAGAGAUGUUUUCUGAAUUAUCAUCAAGCAGGAAUCUUAUCCCUGUGAGCUUUACUCCGGGAUGCUGAGGACACAACCUGCAUAGGCUAGUGCAUCUGUGUCAUCUUUGCCGCCAGUGAAGUUAUGAAGAUGACUGCUGCAUGGAGGGUUUUGACAUUGUUGAUAUUUUGGCAUCUGUUUCAAGCCAGAACUAUUAUUAAGUGACAAAUUUACAUUGCAAGCAAUAAUUAGGAGAAUUUCAUAUACAAGUGCUUACUACUCAUUGCAUUGCUUGUUUUUGAACACAGAAUUGAAGUACAGUGCUUACACUAUGUUUUUACUGCCCAACCACUGCACACAUAAUCUGAGUUAGAAGUUUCACUCUAGAUCUUUUAAAUGUUUUUUCGAGAAGGAGACAUACCUUUUUAUGAAUCUUCUGGCAGCAGACUCCAAAGUUGUAAUCCAAUGUGUGGAAGGCCAAACCCAUUAAUUGUGGUUCUGUGAAUGCGAAUUCUGUCAAGCCAAUCAAGUAAUUGCUGCCAUGACAUUGUUUUGGUUUUUAAUGUUUGUUCUAAUAACUUCUGCCAAUGCAUUAAUUCAGCAACCCUUUGCAUUUGCUCUCCACUAUCCUAUUUUAGAAUUUCAACAGCAUCCCUGUGAUUCCUCAUACUUGAUGAACCAGCGUUCGGAGAAAGUGAAGUCCAGUAAAAAUGAUUCAGAAUUCAUAUCCCACUCAUCAAGAACAUAUGCAUGCAGAAAUUUACUCUUGGAUAGAAAAUGAGGUUUAAGAUAAGUAAGGCUUCAAUUUGGGGCAAAUGAU
rnacentral:misc_RNA from 1 species